UAAUCCUGGCCCUGCCAUUUCCUGGCUGCGUGUCCUUGGGAUAGCAGACCAAGAUAGCCUGUCCACAGAGGCUGGGUGCAAGACCCAGGCUGAUCCAAUCCUAAGACCAUAUCCUCCUGGCAAAAUCAGAGAGGAGCGUGCGACCAAGAUGGGCCAUUCAGAUGCUGUUUCAAACAUUUAACGGCCCAGGGGACAUUCUGUUCCAGAGACACAAUCAUAUGCAAGACCUGGGCCUGGGGAGCAGAAAGUAUCUGCUGCAGCGUAGCUUGCUGCGGAGCCAGCCUGGCCCACCUGGCCCGUGGCACAGGGGCAAUUAUUUUCUCCCCACUCCUGCCAUUCUGCUCUCACUGCCUUUAGGGGAAGUUGCACAGUUGUUGUUCCAGGUCCCACCUCACUGCCGGGGUGUGUGUGCCGGGUUGAGGCAGGGAUGCGUGCAGGAG
rnacentral:lncRNA from 1 species